GCUCCCAUAGCUCAGAUGGAUAGAGCGGUGCCCUCCUAAGGCAUGCGGCCAGGUUCGAGUCCUGGUGGGAGCG
rnacentral:tRNA from 1 species